rnacentral:rRNA from 1 species
UACGUAGGGUGCAAGCGUUAAUCGGAAUUACUGGGCGUAAAGCGUGCGCAGGCGGUUUUGUAAGUCUGUCGUGAAAUCCCCGGGCUCAACCUGGGAAUUGCGAUGGAGACUGCAAGGCUAGAAUCUGGCAGAGGGGGGUAGAAUUCCACGUGUGAGCAGUGAAAUGCGUAGAGAUGUGGAGGAACACCGAUGGCGAAGGCAGCCCCCUGGGUCAAGAUUGACGCUCAUGCACGAAAGCGUGGGGAGCAA